AAACCAACAGGGAUUGCCCCAGUAGCGGCGAGUGAAGCGGCAAGAGCUCAGAUUUGAAAUCGUGUUUCGGCACGAGUUGUAGAGUGUAGGCGGGAGUGUCUGCGGCGGGCAGUGUCCAAGUCCCUUGGAACAGGGCGCCACUGAGGGUGAGAGCCCCGUGGGAUGCUGCGCAAAGCUUUGAGACCCUGCUGACGAGUCGAGUUGUUUGGGAAUGCAGCUCCAAGCGGGUGGUAAAUUCCAUCUAAGGCUAAAUACUGGCGAGAGACCGAUAGCGAACAAGUACUGUGAAGGAAAGAUGAAAAGCACUUUGAAAAGAGAGUGAAACAGCACGUGAAAUUGUUGAAAGGGAAGGGUAUUGGGCCCGACAUGGGGAGUGCGCACCGUUGCCUCUUGUAGGCGGCGCUCUGGGCGCUCUCUGGGCCAGCAUCGGUUCUUGCUGCAGGAGAAGGGGUGCCGGAACGUGGCUCUUCGGAGUGUUACAGCCGGGGCCAGAUGCUGCGUGCGGGGACCGAGGGCUGCGACAUAUGUCUCGGAUGCUGGCACAACGGCGCAAUACCGCC
rnacentral:rRNA from 1 species